AGCAGCCGCGGUAAUUCCAGCCCCAAUAGCGUAUAUUAAAGUUGCUGCAGUUAAAAAGCUCGUAGUUGAAUUUCGGGACCAAUAUGUCGGUCGUGCCUCGGUACGUACUGGCAUCGUUGGUUUCUCCCUUCUGACGAACCAUGAUGUCAUUUAUUUGGUGUCGUGGGGAAUCAGGACUGUUACUUUGAAAAAUUAGAGUGUUUAAAGCAGGCUCACGCUUGAAUACAUUAGCAUGGAAUAAUGAAAUAGGACGUUUGAUUCUAUUUUGUUGGUUUCUAGGAUCGACGUAAUGAUUAAUAGGGAUAGUUGGGGGCAUUAGUAUUCAAUUGUCAGAGGUGAAAUUCUUGGAUUUAUUGAAGACUAACUACUGCGAAAGCAUUUGCCAAGGAUGUUUUCAUUAAUCAAGAACGAAAGUUAGGGGAUCGAAGACGAUCAGAUACCGUCGUAGUC
rnacentral:rRNA from 1 species